UGGUGUGUAAGUACUCCUGUUAAUGAUUUAAGUAGCAUUUACAUCUACAAUUUGCUUGCCUUCAGUUUCAGGGUGGAAAUUAGAUAGAUGAGUACUGCCAGAAGUUCUGAUGCUAUUCAUUCCACAUGACAGUUCCUGCCUCCUCACACAAUUGCAGAGAUGCAUGAAAGUCACCGGCUUUGCAUCCACAGUCCAGCAGAGCGUAAAAUUUUUCAGAGGCUUCAAAACACUCAGAGACUUCAAAAUGUGUAUUAUGAAUC
rnacentral:lncRNA from 1 species